rnacentral:lncRNA from 1 species
CAGCUAGCGCUCCCUCUGCGACCCGAGCGGCUCCCGGCCCUCCGGCAGCACGGACGCCUCGCACCUCCGGGGAGCAUCGCUGGAAUUCCCGGAGUUUUGCUUACAGAAAGACUUCACUCAGGGCAAGGAAACGGCAGAGCCCUUCCCCCAGGUUUACUGCAGAGGUUGGAUCUUGCUGCCAUCGCUGCUGAGAUGAAUGGGCAGUGCAAGAAAUUGACGUUUCCCAAAGGAAAGAGGGUUUUGUAAAGCAGAGCACGUGAGCAAAGAUGGGUGCGAGAGCGUGGAGACGGCCCAGGUUCUUCUGGUUGAGGGAGAAGAGCUGAGUGUGCCCUGCUGUUGGAGGUGGCACUGCCCUGCCUUCAGCAGGGGGAAAUUGUUAAAAAUCCUACAUGCGGCACGGCUGUUCUAAUAGCAUCUCAGGCAAAAGGUGCUGUUCUUCCUGCUGCCAAGAGCUCAAUUGUCACACAGAUACUGGAGAUCUAUUGCCUAUUCAGAAAGCAAAGCAAAUUAUUCUUUGGUAUUUGCAGAACUAUAGCAACAGCCAAAAAUGUAAGAGGUGUAUUUGGGAUGAGAAGAACAAGAGAGUGAACAAAGCAAACAAGCUGUUACAAGUAAUCUCUGAAACUGCGUGGGACAUAGCAACGUCUGGGAUGUCUGCUGGCACUGAAGAAAAGGACUGGAUUGUGAUGGGAGACUGUGGUGAGCAGCACCAGAGCUUCCCAGUACAGAGAGCUGAGCUCCUUUGUGCUGUGUCUGGUCCUGCUCUGCCAUGCUGGACCCAGAAGAAAGCUGCUCCCAUCACAGAGGAGAUGAAUACUGUCUUGCAGGCAUAGUGAGGACACACAGGGUGUAAUUUUGUCCUUGGGAAUUUUGUUCAUGGAUGUGGCCACCACUGGGACAAAGCUCAAAGCUCCUGGGCAGCAUCCCAGUUCUGAGCUGUGUGCAGCAGGCAGGUGGCUGCCGAGAAGUGGGAUUCCUUAGGUGUGGUGCAGUGGCAUUCCAUGCGCUGGUACUGCCCAUCCUGCUUGUUGACACUGUGUGCACAAAUCACAGGUGUGACAUCUAUUUGUUUCCUAAACAAUGUGUUGAAAGAACUCGGGAGGGAUUUGUAUAGCAAAGAGAGCAAGUUUAAAUUAAACAUUUUUUCCUAGAGUGGCACAGUGAUGUUCAUUAGCAGAGGGGAAGUGACAGUGGUGGUUCUCGCAAUCAGAUCUGCACACCAAACCCACCG